AACCAGCACUGCCACGCAAAGAAAAGGCUGAGCUGAGUGGCUGGAGAAGGGAAUGACUCUACAGGAUUCCCCAUUUUCCAAGCAGCUCACACAGUCGUGAGAAAGAACGGUGACUGCAAGAAAAAGGGAACUUCCCAGGGCCUGGAACAUCGGAGACGGACUGACAUAGCAAUUAUCCUACAAGAGUCAAACGGGGUUAGGCCCUCGGGGAGCAGCCACUGCUGCUUCAGAAAUAAACACAAAUUAACUCACCCUGGGUAACAAUUUAUGCUGUGUGGGGCAAAUCCCUCUACCUCCUCAUGCUUCUAGGAGAAAGAGCGCAAGCAGAAAUUAAAUAUCUGACUAAUUAUAUAUGCGGUAUUCAUAUUCUUGUCCUUAAGGCAGAAAAUAUAUUUUAAGAGUUCCCAUCAUGGCUCAGCAGAAAUGAACUCAACUAGUAUCCACGAGGACACGGGUUCGAUCCCUGGCCUUGUUCAAUGGGUUAAGGCUCUGGUGUUGCCGUGAGCUGUGGUAUAGGUCACAGACGUGGCUCAGAUCCUGAGUUGCUGUGGCUGUGGUGUUGGCCGGCAGUUGUAUCUCCGGCUGGAUCCCUAGCCUGGGAACCUCCAUGGGCCUCACAUGUGGCAAGAAAGAAAGAAAGGAAGAAUGAAAAUGUAUGCAUAUAUUUUUAAACUAUGAAUUUACAAAUUUUCAUUCCAUGUCUACAGUUUUUUUAACAGGCUAGAAUGCCUAAGACAGUGGAGUCGAACAGAUCUGGUUUGAGGCUUCGCUCUGCGAUAAACCAGUUGUGCAAAUGGAGCAUUUAUUGAUCUUCCCUUAACAUUUACCUCCUACCAAGGACAGAAACUCCUGCAAAGCUGUUUUAAGGAUUAGAAAUCUGUGACCUCAGCACAGUACCAGGCUCCAAAGAAAAGCUUAAUAAAUUGUGGCUACUAUAUUAUUAUAAUGAUUCCUGAAAGCUCCUUCAGGCUGUCAAGCAUGGCAAUGGAUGUGAAAACAUUUCCAGAAGGCUUCAUAGUAAAAGCCUAGGGGUUUGGUUUUGUUUUUUCCAGAGAGGGCUGUAAUGGAGUGGGGUUUCUGUUUUGCUUUGACUGAUAUUCAGUGUGACUUAGUAAGGCUACAUGGUUUUAGGGGUGUUAGUAGAUCAAACUAAAUCAUUAAGACAAGUGACUUGAUACAUUGUGGCAGGAAGUGAAUUUGUCACUAAACCCCUGACAGCUCCAGGUAGAGCACACCCAGCCCCAGUGUGCCCGGGCAGGCACAGGGCAGGAGGCAGGGCACCCUGCUCACCCACAUGGGUGUAUGAUUCUGUGUCACAGCAUCAGGCACCUGUCCAUUUCUCGUGCCUAGAAGAGAAAGCUUGAGGAAGAGCAUAGGGUCCCGCACCAGCAGACGUGACCAGCAGCAGGUGUGGGAUCCAGGGUCAGAACUGCAACGCCCAGUGGGAGAGAGGGGAGACCUGGAGACGACACAGAUUUCAGUCAGAAGCUCAGCUCUUUCCCUUCAGCAGUAUAACCUGAGCCAGGAAGAUGCCCACCGCCAAGCCUCAGGCUCCUCAUCCCAAAACUCAAGUAUCACUCAUAUAUCGACGUAGGGUGAGGACCGAAUGAUAUGCGUCAAUGGCCUGGCACCUCUCUGAGUCUCUGUUUCCACAAUCUGUGGCACAGGGACCUGAGAACUCACGUCGUGAGGUUGAUGUGAAGACCGAAUUCCGCCAUGUGUUACUGCAACGGGCGUAAUUAGCCCAAGGCCGUCCAUCUACCAGAUAACUAGUGUUCCGGCACCAAGGGUUCACUAGCAGACUUUAGGAAAUUCUUGGAAACAAAAAGGCAAACAGGAAAAGCAUGUAUUUAUGUAAUAAUUUACUAACCAAUAAGAGGAAAAGGGGCAGCAAGACACCGGGGAUUCAAACUGAGACUCAGGGAAUGUGGCAUUUUUUUCUAAGGGGUCACUGGACCGAUACAUGGGGGAGACAGCCAGCUGUUCUGUAAGGUGUGAGGGGAUCCCCAUGCUCACCACCUAGAACUAUCUGGAACCGCCCCACCUCCUCGUGCGGCCUGAGCGCCCGAUCCUGCUGGGUGGGCAGCACCCCGUGGAAGCACACACAGCUCUGGGACCAGUGAGCCUUCUGCGGGGACGCCUUUCAGGCUUGAGCAGCUGAAAGGCUCCUCGGGGAGCUUCUCUCCCGGGACACAGGUGAAAUCAGACUUUGGAAGGAAGACGUGUGUCCUGGGACCCUCGGAGACAGCAAGGAGGAUGAAAAAGGGCACCAGGUGGGCGAGGGUGACACCCAGUCAUGAAAAGACCAUGGGCCUUAGAGACACAAACUCCAGCUUCCCGCACUGAGUGCACGCCCUGCUCAAGCCCGGCUACUUCCCGAGGCGCAGUCUCCUCAUCUGCAACAUGCAGUGCGUGCAGCUGACCUUCCAGAGCCUCCGAGGACUCUGAGACAGCACAGGCCUGGGAGUACUCGGCACGGAGGCCAGGACCCUGUACCGAGAGUCAGCCCUGAUGUGCAGAGGUCUACUCUGAGCUAAAAUCCCCCUGGAGAAAUGCUCCAGAAAGCCGCUGGUUUGAUCCCCUGGGGAAGCAGAGGCCCAGCACCUUCAAGGCGAUCUCAGAGGGAAGGUCCGGCCGCUCUGAAACCUUCAGAGCUGAGAACACACCAGCCCAACAAACCACCCAUAGUUGGGUUUCCAGGUGAGCCCAGGAAAACCUUAAGAACCCAGCAGGGAACAAUUCACAUGACAAAAUGAUGCCGCCCCCUAGCCCAGGGCCAACAUCUGAAAUACAACUUGGCUUCUUAAAAAAAAAAAAAAAAUGGGACCAGGACAAGUUAAGCUGCUUCUAAGGGCACCUUCCUGUCCUCAGGCUACCGCCUAGGCCCUCGCCCCCCCACCCACGUCAAGCCCACCUGACUUCUGAAGGAGCCCCUCUUUCCCAAACACCUGCCACUGGCCGCCUACUUCGCAGCCGGUGGGGAGAAGCAACCCCCCAACCCGCUCAUUCACAACCGUAGGUGGAGGACGAGGCAGGACCUGGGUCUGAGAUCCAAAGGAGCUGGAGAGGUGGCCCAGGGGGCUACGAGGGAAGAGAGGGCGAAAGAAGAGGAGCUGGCGGAGGCUGGGGGACACCCAUCGAGGAGCCCGAGGGCCUCCAGGUCCGCUCCCUGCACAUCCCCCUUCUGCGGGGAAGGCUUUUUCUUUAUUCCUAAACCCACAAGGCACAGGCCUUCACAGACCUGGUUCCACGGCAAGUGGGGAUUUGGGCAGAGAGGCUACAUGAGCAAAGAAGUCACCGCGAGGCCCAGAUGUCGCCGGUUCCCAGCUUUUCACGCCCACGGCUGCACAACCAGACAGCAAACACCCGCAUCCCUCUCUUCACACCCGCAGCAACAGCCGGCGGCCGCCGCCUCUGGGAGGGCAACGCACAGCCCAGGCCAGCCUUUUCCUCUGGAGAAACUCUUUAAGUCAAGGCUUCGCUCAAGGCUGUCCCUACCUGGGAAAAAGCUCAUUCGCAGGCUGGGAAAAAGCUCAUUCGCAGGCUGCCCGGGACUGGGGUGUAACACGACCAGAUCACCUCUGGGGGGAGUCCGGCUAUAUGACAACCGGAUCAGAAAUUCAUGAAUCCACCUGAUGCCUCACCCACGAAUUCUCCUUCUAGGAAUCUAUCGCCCCCAGGGCAGCCACACUCACUGCUGGGGCAACUGCGGAGCCAGCUACUUAAAACCCAAGCUCCUGAGUUGGGGGUCACUUAGGGGAAGGAGGGAGACGCCGUUAACAUCACGAUGUGCCUGAGGACUUUUUAAUGACAUGGGGAGAUGCUCGCCAUGGGUUAAAGGAAGAGAGGCAGGAGGAAUGCCUGAAGUGACAGACAGGCGAGGCCAGCCCCAGCUGGUGGGAUUAUGGGUGACUUUUAAAUUCCCCUUUUUUUUUAUGCUCGUCCAUGUUUUCUACAAAGGGAAUACCUUCCUUUUAUUCUCAAUAUGAAAAAAUUACCGGGGAUGAGAGUAUGCUAAGAAGAGACUGCAGCACACGUUACACGACACCAGAGAGCUGCAAGCGCAACCCGACGAUAGGAGAUGCUUCAGCACAAACACCUCCCAUCCGCCACAAAUAAAUUACAAAGCAAAGAGGGGGUUGCCCACGGAUUCAAGAAACUUUAAAUCUAUGUCGGUCAAAUUGACCACAUGGAUCGCAUUUGGAUCCUGAUUUGAACAAAUUACUUUAAAGAAAACAGGAAAUCUGAACACUGACUGAAUACUUAAUGCUCUAUUGAGAAAACAUUCAUUGUUUGAUGUGAUUAUUAUACUUAUUGUGGUUCCGUGCUGCUGUUGUUUUCAACUCCUUAUGUUUUAAGGAAGGCUAUAUACUAGAUUAUUUAUGCAUGAAAUGAAACAGUGUCUACGACUGCUUCCAAAAAUCAAGGUGGGAGGAGGCAGAAAUGAAAAGAGGACAGGCCAAAGUGGACCACCGCUGAAGCUGGGUGACAGGUGACAGGUACGGAGAGGUUCAGGCUGGUCUCUCUACUUCUGUGUACGUGUGAAAGUCACAAACCAACAAGCUAAAACAGAAACACGCCCAAAGGAAAAACCAUUUGAACAACUGAGCUACUACGGAAAAGGAAAAACGAGGCUACACAAGCCAUUUGAGUGGAUAGAGGGGAAUCUAAAAAUGCAAAGUACUACAAAGGUGCCCAAUAAUAAAAUCCAUUUUUUUUUUUAAGUCAAAAGGUAUUCUUUUAAGUUAAAAAUCACUUGGCGAAACAUCUCAUAGGUGUGUCUCUUUCAGACACUGAACCACUUGGGGGCGGGGGGCAUAACAUAGGAGACUGGAAGGCAGAAGUGACCUCAAGCUUCGGCUACUUAUUCAACGUUGUGACAAGUCAUUUUAACUUUCUGAGCCUCUGUUUCCU
rnacentral:lncRNA from 1 species